GAUGAACGCUAGCUACAGGCUUAACUCAUGCAAGUCGAGGGGAAACGAUAUUGGAAGCUUGCUUCCGAUAGGCGUCGACCGGCGCACGGGUGAGUAACGCGUAUCCAACCUGCCCACCACUUGGGGAUAACCUUGCGAAAGUAAGACUAAUACCCAAUGACGUCCAUAGAAGACAUCUGAAAUGGAUUAAAGAUUUAUCGGUGAUGGAUGGGGAUGCGUCUGAUUAGCUUGUUGGCGGGGUAACGGCCCACCAAGGCGACGAUCAGUAGGGGUUCUGAGAGGAAGGUCCCCCACAUUGGAACUGAGACACGGUCCAAACUCCUACGGGAGGCAGCAGUGAGGAAUAUUGGUCAAUGGGCGAGAGCCUGAACCAGCCAAGUAGCGUGCAGGAUGACGGCCCUAUGGGUUGUAAACUGCUUUUAUAAGGGAAUAAAGUGAGUCUCGUGAGGCUUUUUGCAUGUACCUUAUGAAUAAGGACCGGCUAAUUCCGUGCCAGCCGCCGCGGUAA
rnacentral:rRNA from 1 species